CGUUCCCGGGCCUUGUACACACCGCCCGUCACGCCAUGGAAGCCGGGAGUGCCCGAAGUCCGUGACCCAACCGCAAGGAGGGAGCGGCCGAAGGCAAGUUCGGUAACUGGGGCG
rnacentral:rRNA from 1 species